rnacentral:tRNA from 1 species
GCCCUGGUGGCACAGUGGUUAAGUGCUUGGCUGCUAACCGAAAGGUCGGUGGUUCGAACCCACCCAACUGCU